ensembl:processed_transcript Gm16551 predicted gene 16551
GCGCAGGCAGCUAUUCAAAUGCAAGUUGCGUCCCUAAAUGCGCGGCUGGCCUGAGCUAAAGGAGCAGCUCGUCACCGUGCGAGCCGAGACCAGCGUUGGGGUUCUGGGUCACCUCUUUUCUCUCGGCUUUUCCCUCGCUCUCCGGUUCCUGAAUUAGCUGUUUGUUUAUGGCUCCAGAAGUGUGUGUGCCAGCGAGCCGAGGCAGCGCGCAAGGGAGAGAAUUGAUCUUUCCUCAGACUCAAAGCUGGAGCCGAAGAAGUGCGGGGGAUUUGGGGGUUCUGAGUGGGACUCAGACCCUAGGUGCUGAGGGGAAGCCCGUGGGCUCUCUGGCCCGCUUCUCUAACCCCAGCGACCUUGCAGGAAUCCUCAGGCCUGAGAGCGCCCGGGCUCUGGGCUUUGCAGAAAGUGGCGGCGGUUGUGUCCCGGGUUUUAAAAUCAACGCAAAGGAAAGGAGGCAAAGCUGAAAGCUUGUCGCGUGUCAGAAGCAGCCUGCCGUGAAAUCCGCUAAUGCGCCCCGACUCGCCCUUCGCGGUAAGCCAGCCUCUCAGGUCCACGCGGCCGUGGAACAAGAAGGGGGAGUCAGUGCGGCCAGGUGUGCCACGCGGGUCCUCGACUGAGCUCGUGGCCACGCGUACAGCGUGGGAGCCGGGGGCGGAGGGCAGAGCCCGCGUCACGCCCGGGAAGCG